UGUGCCGAAAAAGGGGCUUGGCAACAAUUUCACAGAUGUACAUAUCAGAUGUGAAGGAAAUUAGAUUUCGCAGUGGACUCUGCCAAAAGGUGUUGUCUCUGCCGCCUGCUGAGAAAAUCGCAUGAUGUCAAAAACAAAUUACGGCGUACGUUUAUGUAUAACGAACAAUCGAAUAUCACGCUUAACGACCGAAUCCUCCUACCAAAGCAGUAUAUGAAAUUGGGUUGGUUCUGCUUGUUGUUUUCGAUUUUUUAAUCAUUUGUUUACUUAUUGCGAAAUUAUGAUAAUGUUUUAAAUUAUGUACACGUAUUUUUUAUGGUACAGCACACUUAUGACCGCGUCUAUUUUUACGUGAUUAUGGUGGACGGUUUUUCUUUCAUUUGAAACUUAUAAAUACCCAACAAGAAAGCUUUUUACUUUAAUUAACACAUGCUUUCGAUUGAAUAAAUAUAUUGUUUAGGUA